CUUCUCUGUUAGCACUAAAUUUGUGAUUUUCAUUUGGCAAAAUAAUGAAGGUCCCUCAGAUGCAGAAGCUUCAUCCUGGUCUUUGUUUCCUCUGAUGCAUUUUACAGAGAUGCUCCCUCCACCGUUCUACAGUGGUUUGUGUUGCUCCUUUAUCCCAGAUGUGCUGUUACUGAGGCGUAAUGUGGACAGAUGUUUUUCA